rnacentral:rRNA from 1 species
AGAAUCAACGCUGGCGGCGUGCCUAACACAUGCAAGUCGAACGCGAAAGUCCCGCAAGGGAUGAGUAGAGUGGCAAACGGGUGAGUAACACGUGGGCGACCUGCCUUCGAGCGGGGGAUAACGUCCCGAAAGGGACGCUAAUACCGCAUAACAUCCUGCCUUUUAAGAGGUGGCGAUCAAAGCCGGGGAUUCGCAAGAACCUGGCACUUGAAGAGGGGCCCGCGCCUGAUUAGCUAGUUGGUGGGGUAAUGGCCUACCAAGGCAACGAUCAGUA